GGACCCGCACAAGCGGUGGAGCAUGUGGUUUAAUUCGAUGCAACGCGAAAAACCUUACCUACUCUUGACAUACUUGGAAGCUCUUGUAAUGAGAGUGUGCCUUUUGGAACCAAGAUACAGGUGCUGCAUGGCUGUCGUCAGCUCGUGUCGUGAGAUGUUCCGUUAAGUCGGAUAACGAGCGCAACCCUUACCCUUAUUUGCCAGCGAUUCGGUCGGGAACUAUAAGGGGACUGCCGGUGAUAAACCGGAGGAAGGUGAGGACGACGUCAAGUCAUCAUGGCCCUUACGAGUAGGGCUACACACGUGCUACAAUGGGGAAUACAGACGGACGCUAAGCCGCGAGGUGGUGCUAAUCUCAUAAACCUUUUCGUAGUCCGGAUUGGAGUCUGCAACUCGACUCCAUGAAGUCGGAAUCGCUAGUAA
rnacentral:rRNA from 1 species